rfam:Yam spherical virus culture-collection DSMZ:PV-0517, complete genome.
AAGCCAAACGGCCUAGAUCGGAGGGGUCGUGAUAACAGUUCCGUUGGUGGUUCUUCGGACUCUCAGGCCCAGGGUGCACAAACCUGGGGCGGUUAUCAUAAUGGUCUAGGAGACAGCUU